rnacentral:rRNA from 1 species
AUUGAACGCUGGCGGCAGGCCUAACACAUGCAAGUCGAACGGUAGCACAGAGAGCUUGCUCUCGGGUGACGAGUGGCGGACGGGUGAGUAAUGUCUGGGAAACUGCCCGAUGGAGGGGGAUAACUACUGGAAACGGUAGCUAAUACCGCAUAACGUCGCAAGACCAAAGAGGGGGACCUUCGGGCCUCUUGCCAUCGGAUGUGCCCAGAUGGGAUUAGCUUGUAGGUGAGGUAACGGCUCACCUAGGCGACGAUCCCUAGCUGGUCUGAGAGGAUGACCAGCCACACUGGAACUGAGACACGGUCCAGGCUCCUACGGGAGGCAGCAGUGGGGAAUAUUGCACAAUGGGCGCAAGCCUGAUGCAGCCAUGCCGCGUGUAUGAAGAAGGCCUUCGGGUUGUAAAGUACUUUCAGCGGGGAGGAAGGGAGUGAGGUUAAUAACCUCAUUCAUUGACGUUACCCGCAGAAGAAGCACCGGCUAACUCCGUGCCAGCAGCCGCGGUAAUACGGAGGGUGCGAGCGUUAAUCGGAAUUACUGGGCGUAAAGCGCACGCAGGCGGUCUGUCAAGUCGGAUGUGAAAUCCCCGGGCUCAACCUGGGAACUGCAUUCGAAACUGGCAGGCUGGAGUCUUGUAGAGGGGGGUAGAAUUCCAGGUGUAGCGGUGAAAUGCGUAGAGAUCUGGAGGAAUACCGGUGGCGAAGGCGGCCCCCUGGACAAAGACUGACGCUCAGGUGCGAAAGCGUGGGGAGCAAACAGGAUUAGAUGCCCUGGUAGUCCACGCUGUAAACGAUGUCGACUUGGAGGUUGUUCCCUUGAGGAGUGGCUUCCGGAGCUAACGCGUUAAGUCGACCGCCUGGGGAGUACGGCCGCAAGGUUAAAACUCAAAUGAAUUGACGGGGGCCCGCACAAGCGGUGGAGCAUGUGGUUUAAUUCGAUGCAACGCGAAGAACCUUACCUACUCUUGACAUCCAGAGAACUUAGCAGAGAUGCUUUGGUGCCUUCGGGAACUCUGAGACAGGUGCUGCAUGGCUGUCGUCAGCUCGCGUUGUGAAAUGUUGGGUUAAGUCCCGCAACGAGCGCAACCCUUAUCCUUUGUUGCCAGCGAUUCGGUCGGGAACUCAAAGGAGACUGCCAGUGAUAAACUGGAGGAAGGUGGGGAUGACGUCAAGUCAUCAUGGCCCUUACGAGUAGGGCUACACACGUGCUACAAUGGCAUAUACAAAGAGAAGCGACCUCGCGAGAGCAAGCGGACCUCAUAAAGUAUGUCGUAGUCCGGAUUGGAGUCUGCAACUCGACUCCAUGAAGUCGGAAUCGCUAGUAAUCGUGGAUCAGAAUGCCACGGUGAAUACGUUCCCGGGCCU